rnacentral:rRNA from 1 species
AGCCAGACUCCUACGGGAGGCAGCAGUGGGGAAUAUUGCACAAUGGGGGAAACCCUGAUGCAGCGACGCCGCGUGAGCGAUGAAGUAUUUCGGUAUGUAAAGCUCUCUCAGCAGGGAAGAAAAUGACGGUACCUGACUAAGAAGCCCCGGCUAACUACGUGCCAGCAGCCGCGGUAAUACGUAGGGGGCAAGCGUUAUCCGGAUUUACUGGGUGUAAAGGGAGCGUAGACGGCUGUGCAAGCCAGAUGUGAAAGCCCGGGGCUCAACCCCGGGACUGCAUUUGGAACUGUGUGGCUGGAGUGUCGGAGAGGCAGGCGGAAUUCCUAGUGUAGCGGUGAAAUGCGUAGAUAUUAGGAGGAACACCAGUGGCGAAGGCGGCCUGCUGGACGAUGACUGACGUUGAGGCUCGAAAGCGUGGGGAGCAAACAGGAUUAGAUACCCCAGUAA